ACUACAUGAGGGUUGAUGACAGUCAUCUGGCACUAUUCAUAGACUAUCGACAAAUUUGAAUUGAAGGUAAUUUAAAGGGUCAGUCAUUGUAAUGAACAUAAUUUAUCUUACGACAGCUGUAGAACACAUGUAUCGAAGUUUGGCUCAUGCAUGAGAGGAUAUGAAAGGAGGAAAGAGAAGAGGGAGGUUAUGUAAAUAUUGUAUUAUGAUCUCACAUAGUGUAACAGUAGAGUAUAUCCACUAGAUGGUGAUCAUGUACUAGCAAUACUCAAAUAUUUAUCGAUAUAUGUAAAUAUUUCUUCUGGUUGCCAAUGGGCCUGUGAAUUUGCAAUUUGGUGAAGGUUACAUACUAGCAUGGUUAAGAGGAUGGCCUAUGGAGUCUAAAUGGCAGGCUUUGAAACUUAGGUUUUCCAAUCGAGAACUAGGGCAGUAUUUAUUUGAAUUUCCUGACCCUAGGCUUCCUGAUCCAUCAGGAAGGUUAGAAAUAGAACCUAUCUUUUAGAGCUGUUGUCACAAACUCCUUAAAAUUCAGGUUAAGUUAAAACACAAACAUGGGAUAAUUAUAAAUACAUUAUCACGAGUACUGUUGUAACAAAGGUGUUCACAGAUUUUCUCUGUGAACUAUAGAAUACAUGGUUAUUUUAAAAAAUAAUGAUGAUGAUGAUUCUCCCUCUGGUAGUACAGCCUAUCAAAUCCUAAGUUCUGAUCCUCAGCCUCAAUGAUUAUGGAAUGAUGGCCACCAAAAUUACAAGGUAAUGAAUGGGUGAGGUGAGGCUGGUUUUACACUUUGUUUCAGACUUUAUACUUUACUGAGAAGUAGGUGGAAUCUGUUACAAAGGGCACUAAGGCAGAGGUCAGAUAGCAAAACCAGAUUUGUACUUGACAGGAUCACAUCAAUAAGAGGAGGAGGCUGUGGAAAUGAAAGGUGGGUCUGGAGUCAAGUAAACAGGAAUUCAGGUCAAUAAAAGAUUGCCUCAUUUCUAAUCUAAGGAUGAAUCUUUGGAAAUGCUAGAAUUAUGCAGAUCUAUGACUCUAAUGAUAACUUGAACCUCACAAAUGUUUUCUUCUUAUGGGAUAAAAAAUCUUGGGAGUAUAACAGGUUUAGUCUAAAACUUUGCACAUAGCUUCCCUGACACAGUUCACAUUGCAAAAUAAUCCUGCAGGCUCUUCCCUAAGUUUUGAGCAUUCAGCCCCACAAAGAGGUGUCUGUGAACUUUGCAACCACAAGGAAAAGCUGGGCUGCUUUUCACAGAACACACCAAGAAGGACCAGCACUCCUCAGAGAGCCAGGCUGAGCUUACCUAAUAUGAUGGAUUUCCCAGAACUGUGGGCGCUUUGAAGUGUCUGACCCGAGAGAUACUGAAAUAUAUUUCGGUUUCCUUUUAUCAUCCUGAGCCAGAAUGGGUGAGGCUGCCUGGGGUGGGGGUGGGGGUGUGGAUCUAGCGAAGAAGAGAAUAAUCAUUGUGGUUGGCUUUAACAGUGUCCUUUUCACACUUAUGUCUUGAAUGCUUCCUCCCAACUGAUGAGGAUACUCUCAGAGCCUGUGGAAUCUUUGAGAGGUGGAGCCUAGCUGGAAGAAACGUAUGGCCAUCAAUAGCCUUUGAAAGCAAUAGUCAACCCUUGUUUCUCCCAUGUUGUCUGUUUCCUGACCCAUUGUGCUGUGAACAGCACUGCCUCAUGUGCCCUGGCCUCCAUGAACUGAGCUGCCCCAGACUUCCCUGCCAUGAUGAACUGAAACUCCGGAAAACAACAAACCCAACUAAAUCUGCCCUCCUGGAAGCUGCCAGAAUCACAACUAACAGACGGCCUCGAGUCUCAGUAGAGACACUGGACUUUGAACAAUGGAGGAACAGUUACGAUCAUGUGGACUUGAAACUGGUCUGAGUGAACUUUGCGUUUGGAGGCCAGAGAUGGGAUGGUAUACUUUACAUCUGAAGACUCCUCCUCGGGCUUCUGUUUUAAAUGGUCCCUUGCUGACAGUGCCAUUUUCUUUCAGAGAGUGUGAAACUUCUAUGAAUUCUGGCUUAAAAAGUGACAAAAUGCCUGACAAAACAGCUUAAAGAAGAGUCUUGCUCCACCAAGCAACCAAUGGAAAGAGAUGCGGAGACCCACCACCAAAUGUUAGGUGGAGCUCAGGGAGUUUACGGAAGAGUUGGGGGAAGUAUUGAGGGACCCAAGGAGGACAGUGACUCCACAGGAAGACCAACAGAGUCCACUAACCUGGACCCUUAGAGGUUCCCAGAGACUGAAUCAUCAACCAGAGAGAGAGUACAGGCUGGACCUAGUCCUUCUACACAUAUGUAGCAGAUGAGCAGCUUGGUCUUCAUGUGGGUCCCUAAAUAACUGGAGCCACGGCUGUCCCUAAGCCUGCUGUCUGCCUCCCUGCCUGUGAAUCCCACAACCCUAAACGGGGUGUCUGGCUUCAAUAAGAGAGGAUGUGCCAGAUGUGAGGGGAGGCUUGGGGGAUGGUGAUAACUAGAAGAAGGCUUCCCUCUUCUUAAAGGAGAAGAAGAGGAAGAAAUGGGAGGAAAUCUGUAUGAGGGAAUACUGGAAGGAGAGGGGGACUGGUAUUGGAAUGUAAAGUGAAUGAAGAAAGAAAGAAAGAAAGAAAGAAAGAAAGAAAGAAAGAAAGAAAGAAAGAAAGAGAGAGAGAAAGAGGGAGGGAGGGAGAGAGGUAGGAAGGGAGGGAGGAGGGAAGAAAAAGAAAGAAAGAAAGAAAGAAAGAAAGAAAGAAAGAAAGAAAGAAAGAAAGAGAGAGAGAGAGAGAGAGAAAGAGAGAGAGGGAGGGAGGGAGAGAGAGAGAAAGGAAACAAGGGAGGGAGGGGAAGGAGGGAGAGGGGAGGGAGGGAAGGAGGGAGGGAGAGAGAGAGAGACUUUUUGCCUUGUGGUUUAAGAAGAGAUAUUCAUCCACCACAGCAGGAAUAUCAAGGCAGAAUACAUUCAGGUUAUAUAUAGGCAGUGAUCUUUUAUUCAAUCACAAGACUAUUCUUUUUUUUUUCUUAAAUGUGAUUUCAUAUGUUAAGAAGAAGGAAGACCAAAAUGUGGAUGUUUC